rnacentral:rRNA from 1 species
UAAUUCUAGAGCUAAUAUUUACUGAAAAGCCGUGACUUUAUGAAGCGGCGGAUUUAUUAGAUCAAAAUCAACGCUCAGCAAUGGGCCGAAAUUGAUGAAUCUGGAUAACUUUACUGAUCGUACGACCUUUGUGUUGACGACAUAUCUCUUGAAAAGGCUGACCUAUCAACUUUCGAUGGUAAGAUCAAAGCUUACCAUGGUUGUAACGGGUAACGGGGAAUCAGUGUUCGAUUCCGGAGAGGGAGCCUGAGAAACGGCUACCACAUCUACGGAAGGCAGCAGGCGCGCAAAUUACCCAAUACCGGCUCGGUGAGGUAGUGACAAAAAAUAUAUGGCCGGUGCUCUUUAAUGGGUGUCGGUCAUAACCGACAAGUUUACUUUGAAAAAAUUAGAGUGCUUAAAGCAGGCUUAUGCUUGUAUAUUGUUGCAUGGAAUAAUGAAAUAGGACUUCGGUUUUAUUUUGUUGGUUUUCGAAACUGAAGUAAUGAUUAAAAGAGACUGCCGGGGACAUAUGUAUGCUGGUGUGAGAGGUGAAAUUCUAAGAUCGCCAGCAGACAAACUACUGCGAAAGCAUUUGUCAAGAAUGUUUUCAUUAAUCAAGAACGAAAGUCAGAGGAUCGAAGACGAUCAGAUACCGUCCUAGUUCUGACCAUAAACUAUGCCAACUGACAGUUAGUGAAGGUAGUUUUCACGUCCUCACUAGAAGUCACCGGGAAACCUAAGUCUAUGGGUUCCGGGGGAAGUAUGGUUGCAAAGCUGAAACUUAAAGGAAUUGACGGAAGGGCACCACCAGGAGUGGAGCCUGCGGCUUAAUUUGACUCAACACGGGAAAUCUCACCCGGUCCGGACACUGUGAGGAUUGACAGAUUGAUAGCUCUUUCUUGAUUCGGUGGGUGGUGGUGCAUGGCCGUUCUUAGUUGGUGGAGCGAUUUGUCUGGUUAAUUCCGAUAACGAACGAGACUCUGGCCUACUAAAUAGUACACUUGUGUUUAAUCGCAAGUGCUGACUUCUUAGAGGAAUAAGUAGCUUUUAGCUAAAUGAAAUAGAGCAAUAACAGGUCUGUGAUGCCCUUAGAUGUCCGGGGCCGCACGCGCGCUACAAUGGCAGUAUCAACGAGUUUUUUCCUAGCUAGAAAUGGCCGGGUAAUCUUGUGAAACACUGUCGUGUCAGGAAUAGUGGUUUGAAAUUUUUCCACUUGAACGAGGAAUUCCUAGUAAGCGCAAGUCACUAGCUUGCGCUGAUUACGUCCCUGCCCUUUGUACACACCGCCCGUCGCUACU